rnacentral:lncRNA from 1 species
GCCACUGUUGCUGGCUACUUCAUCCCCAAAGGUAGUCACGUCUUGCUCAGUCGUUACGGCCUAGGCCGGAACCCCAAGGUUUGGGAUGACCCACUGAAGUUCAACCCUGAGCGCCAUUUGAAGGAUGGUUCCAUGUGCGUUGAUCUGACAGAGACAGACCUGAGGUUAAUUUCUUUCAGCACAGGAAGGCGCGGGUGCAUGGGCGUGGCUCUUGGGACUGCAAUGACCGUGAUGCUGUUGGCAAGGCUGCUCCAAGGUGUCACUUGGAGGGUUCCACCGAAUGAGGCAAACAUCGAUCUCUCUGAGGCAAAAGAUGAUCUCUUCAUGGCCAAACCUUUGCAUGCACUUGGUCAACCUCGAUUGCCUGCUCAUCUUUAUCCAGCUAAUUAAUCAGUCAUGGAAAAGCUUCAGUUAUGAAUAAAGUUGUCAUUGCUUCUUUAGAAAAUGAAUAAACCUGUAAUUAAUUUGAAUAUUUCUUGUUAUGAUGCUCUUUUUAUGAAUGUUGAUUUCAAUUUCUCAAUGUGUGCUUUGUGACUUUUGAAUUACAUUACUAGCUGCUGAAGUAUUUGGAAAAUGCCCUUUAAUUGUUUACUAGUGAUUUAUUUUUAUUUUUGAUAAUUCAAAUAAACUUUGUACUGUAAUUAAUUUAUAUUGAAUAGUAUGUAGUUUUAUUAUUAUUAUUUUGAAAAUCAAAUUUAACAUAUAUAUAUUUAUAAUUGAAAUAAAUACACAAUGCAAAUUUGAUUUGUUUCAAUACAGUGCUAGGUUAUUGGGUUUGACGAUGGAAAUUUGAUUUAAGGGGAGAGAUUAAUGGGAUUUAAGGAUGGGUUUAAUUUGAUUUGGGGAAUGACCCUUCUUUCGUUUUUUGUUUUCUUGGGUUGUUGAUAGUCUGGUAAUUUUGAGUUUUGACUUUAAACAAACAUAGUUAUUUUAUCAUUAUUCAAAUUAGAAAUAUAUAUAUUUAAUUAAAAUAAUAAAUUUGAUGUAAAAGAUGGGUUAAAUGUUUAAAAUAUAUAUAAAAAAAUAUUAUCAUAAGAUAAUUUGAUCAACGUCCAUGAUAGAUUUUCAUAUAAAAUAUGAUCUAAUACAUAUAAAAAUUCAUUAGGCAUGGAUUUGGAUCAUACGAAGGUGAGAAACUCUCUCUUACAUCGCAAAUUUCAAACCUCCUGUUAGUGGUAUAUGAAAGAAAAAAAAUUCAAUAGUUAUCACAUAAGAUUAAUGAUCCAAUCUCUAUGAUUUUUUGUAGUAGUUUUAUUUCAAAGAAAUAGACAAUUAAAUAAAUGAUCUUCUAUUGAAACAAAUUUUGAAAAAAAAGGGUGUUUCUUUUAAUAUAAAAAUAAGUUAUCAAAGUUUUACCAUUAAUUGUCAUAUAAAACUAAUAACUUGGUCUUUAUUUUUUUUUAUAAUAAUUUCCUUAGAAACAAGGAGAAUUUGAAUAAAAGACUUACUAUCGAGACAAAUUUCGAGAAAAUAAAUGUAAUAAUGAGAAAAUAAAAGAAGUGUAUUAAGGCGGUUUUAGUAUAAUCAUGGUUUCGAGAAAAUAAUAAAAAUACAUUUUCAAUCUUCGUGAUCAAUAUACCAGAUUUGUUAGGUUUGAUAAUCUAAUUGAUGCUAGGAGGGCUUGUUGUUUUUUUUAAUGGAGGAAGGGGUAUUCGAACCCUUGCUUUCUAGGUAAAAGAUUAUGCAUCAACUAAUAAGCCAAAUACUCAGGUACAAGAGGCUUGCUUGAUGAUGAACGAAGUCUGGAUUAUCAACCAAAAACUAAGUGUCAUUUUAGCCCAAUAUGGUGACAAAGAUACCUAUUGGAGGAGAAGACAACCAAUGAUGAUGGGAAGAAUACCCCAAAUGGAAGGAACCAACGAUCAAACCAUGGAACAAACUUCUGAUGAGCGAAGAGGAGGACAAGGACAAUCCUACUCUCAAGUAAUAAGAAGAGUAAAGGAAACCCAAGAGUAGUCAAUUUCAAAGAAUGGAAAAAAAGGACAAGAUGUAGGGAGAUAUUGAGUGUGGAGUAAUUAAAUCAUUUGAAUUGCCUUGAAAAAAAAUGUUAUAUAAGACUAAUUAUUUGGUCGGGUGAUUUUCUACAGUUGUUUUUUUCCAAGGAAAUGAGGACUUUAAUAAAUGACCUACUAUUGAGACAAGUUUCUAAUAUGAAAGUGCUACAAUAAAUUGCCAAAUAAGAGUAAUUCCCAAGUCGUUUGCUUGAUUUUUUGUAACUAUUUCCUUUCUAGACAAAGGAAAUUUUAACAAAUGCCCUAUGAUUGAGCUAACUUUUGAGAAAAAGAAAUUCCUUUAAAUAUAACAAUAAGUUAUCAAAGUUUUACAAGUAAUUGUCAUAUAAGACUAAUUAUUCAGUCCAGAUGGUUUUUUGUAACUGUUUUCUUUUGAUAAAUUGGAGACAUAAAUAAAAGACCUACUGUUAAGAUAAAUUCUGAGAAAAUGAAAUUUUUUUUAGUAUUAUAAUAUGAGGGUUCUUCCAUUAACUGCAAUACACAACUAAUUAACCAGUUUGUAACAUUUUUUUGUAAUUGUUUCCUUCUAAGAAAAUGGGGAUUGGAAUAAAUGACCAACUUUUGAGACAAAUUUCGAGAAAAAGAAGUUCCUUUUAAUAUAACAAUAAGUUAUCAAAGUUCUAACCUUGAUGGCUAAGACUUAAUACUCAUUAUAUAAGAUUUUUUUGUAAUAGUUUUUCUAUUUAUUUUACAUUGAAUUUAUGUCAUACAUAUGUACGUGUAUAUAUAUAUGUAUAGAUGUAUGUAUAUAUAUAUAUAUGUAAAUGUAUGUGUGUGUGUGUUGAUGUCAAAGUUCUACCUUCAAAUGCCAUGUAAGACAAAUUACUUGCUGGUCGGUAUGAUUUUUUAUAGUCGUUUCCUUCCGAGAAAAUGAGGACUUAAACUAUUGAGACAAAUUCCAUAAAAAAGGAAUUCCUUUUGAUUAAACAAUAAAUUAUUAAAGUUUUAAAAUUAGUUAUCGUCUAAGACUUUUUUUUUUGUUCGCUCAAACAAUAUAUGGUUUCAUUAAAUAAGAGUUACUACAGCUCACACAUUCCAGCUACCUAGAAUGGUACAAAAGAAACACCCACUGAAUUUCCCUCAUUUAAAGAGGAUAACAACAUCAAACAGAUUCCAUAUUCCCUGUAGUUAAUAGCUUGACAGCAACCUAAUAUUACAUAAAAAAUCAUAACAGAAAUACUAUCAAUAUUGGAAACAAAAGAAAAUCAUACACUUCGUAGUUGUAUUAACCCAACAACAUAAACCUUCAUCUCCUGCCAUCUCCCACUAGCCACAGCUUCUCCUACCAUAUAUUAGCAUUGAAUCAGAUUCUACCACCAAGGAUUUCCUCCCACACUACACUUCCUUUUUCUUACCUCCCCCUACACAGUACUGACCUUUUUUAUGCCUUGGCUCUUGCCGUUGCCUCCUUAGCCAUCUCCACUAGCAGCACGUCCUUUAUUUCUUUUGCACAUGAAGCCUAUUCUUUGGCCUAUACUGACCAUUUUUCAUUUCUUCUGGGCUUAUCCUUAUAUUACUCUCCUUUCAUGGGCCUACAUUUUUCUCAUCAUUAUUUUCCCCCUUUAUCCCCAAACUCUCUUCAUCUUUCUUCUUCUCAACCGGUUUCAAUCUUUCUCCCUCUAACACUAAUUAAUUACUUGGCCUAUAUGAUUUUUUGUAACCGCUUCUUUUGGAAAAAUUGAGUACUUGAAUAAGUGACCUACUGUUAAGACGAAUUAUGAGAAAAAGAAAUUUUUUUUAGUAUUACAAUAAAUUUGAGAGUUUUUACCAUUAAUUGCAAUACAAAACUAAUAAACCAGUCCGUAUGAUUUUUCGUAACUAUUUCCUUCCAAGAAAAUGGGGACUUGAAUAAAUGAUCUACUAUUGAGACAAAUUUCAAGAAAAAGGAAUUCCUUUUAAUAAAACAAUUAGUUAUCAAAGUCCUAACAUUUAUUGCAAAGACUAAAAGCUUGGUAUAUAUGAUUUUUUGUAAUAGUUUUUUUAUGAAGAAAAUGAAGCUUAGAUGAAUGACCUACUAUUAAGACAAAUUUCAAGAAAAAGAAAUUUCUUUCAGUAUAACAAUAAGUUAUUGUUGAGAAAAGAAAUAAGUUAUUAAAGUUUUAUUGUCAAUUACUAUUAAUGACUAAUUAUAAAUCAGUCUGCAUGAUUUUUUAUUAGAUUUAUGUCAAUUAUAUAUAUAUAUAUGUAUAUAUAUAAAUAUGUGUGUGUAGAGAUGUCAAUAAUUACCUUAUAUAUAUAUAUAUAUAUGAUUUUUUUUGUAAUAGUUUUUUUCCGUAGAAAAUGAAACAUAUAUAAUUGACCUAGUAUUAAGUGUGUGUAGACAUGUCAAUUCUUUUCUACUUUUGUAAAAAUGUAUUAUGAAUCCAAUGUAUUGUGUAGAGAUGUCAUUACACAGAUAUUUGGUGCAUCCAAUGUAAGUUUUCUCUGAGUUGAGCUGUAUAUGUUUACAUUGUCUGCUAAUUAUAAUGCAAAAAGGAUACUUAAGGAAAAUUUUACAUCUGUUUUCAUCAAUGCAGGAUCCCAUAAAAUACACUUUGACAGAUGCAAAAUUUGUAAGAAACAAUUCUUCGUAUGAUGAAAAUCUUGAAAAGGUAAAUGUACAUGUUGUAAAGUUUGUCCUACUACUUUCAAAUUGAGAGCAACUAAUGUCUAAAUAAGGUAUACAUGAUUGAUUACCUAGAAGAGAAAUUAAUGAAAAGAGACAUUUUGGAUUUUAUAAACCUGGUUCCCCUUGCUUUCUUAUCAUUCCAAACCUCACAUUCUAAGGAGAAGUUGAGAAAAAUCUUCCAAUGUCACCCAGUUAGGGCUAUUCUUUCCCUAGAUACUAUCAGCUUUCUCUAAACCAGAAGGAAGGCUUGCUCUCAGCCAUGGAAAAUACUUCCUCAGAAAAUGUUACCUUUUCAUUGUUGACAGGGGCUUGCCUGAUUUUUGCUACCUCUAGACUUGUUUCUUUUCAUUCAACCCUUCUCUUCAUGCUUCUCGUUUUAUUCCUUUUUGUUGUCAAAGCAAAGGGCAAAGCCAGCAAGAGAAAGAGCAACCAAGCACCUUUUCCUCCAGGCCCAACUCCCUGGCCAAUCAUUGGAAACCCUCCAGAGAUAUGGAGAAAGAGACCAGCCUUUCGGUGGAUUCAUGGCCUUAUGAAAGAACACCACACGGAUAUUCUUUGUGCCCCCCUUGCAAACUCUCAUGUCGUCGCUGUCACUUCGCCUGUCAUUGCUCCAGAGUUCUUGAAGAAAAAUGAUUCAGUUUUUGCAUCAAGGCCUGUUACGAUGGCAACUGAGUACUCCAGCCGAAGGUUCUUGACAAUAGCUGUUGUUCCGUGGGGAGAUCAAUGGAAGAAAAUGAGAAAGGUUGUGACCCUGGUUGAGAUCAUUUGAUUUGGAGGGCCAUGAGAAGACUGUCUGUAAGGCUAUGAAAAUUGUAAGUGAGUACCAGGAUCCCUUGAUUGACGAGAGGGUCCAAGAGUGGAGAGAAGGCAAGAGGACGGAGCCUGCAGACCUCCUUGAUGCCUUCAUUUUAGCCAAGGAUUCGAAUGGGAAGCCAUCUCUUUCAAUCGAAGAGAUUAAAGCCCAAUGUGCAGUGAGAUAAUCUAACCGUAGAUUCCUUUUCUGCCAUGUGUUUUUAGUCUAGUCAUAACAAAAAUUAAUUUGAUUAGUUCUAGUAAUAGUAACAAUAGUUAUCAUCAAAUUUGUGUUUGAUAUGUCUAUGAAUAUUUUGUUUAUGUAGGAGUUAAUGCUUGCAACCGUAGACAAUCCUUCAAAUGCUGUGGAAUGGGCAAUGGCAGAAAUGAUCAACCAACUUGAAACUCUCCUGAAAGCAGUCGAGGAGAUAGAUUCUUUGGUCGGAAAAGAGAGGCUGGUUCUAGAAGCUGACAUUUCCAAACUCAACUAUGUCAAAGCUUGUGCAAGAGAAGGCUUUCGUCUUCACCCAAUUGCACCCUUUAACCUACCCCAUGUCUCAACCGCCGACGCCACUGUUGCUGGCUACUUCAUCCCCAAAGGUAGUCACGUCUUGCUCAGUCUUUACGGACUAGGCCAGAACCCCAGGGUUUGGGAUGACCCAUUGAAGUUCAACCCUGAGCGCCAUUUGAAGGUUGGUUCCAUGCGCGUUGAUCUGACAGAGACAGACCUGAGGUUCAUUUCUUUCAGCACAGGGAGACGCGGGUGCAUGGGCGUGGCUCUUGGGACUGCAA